rnacentral:rRNA from 1 species
CGGGGUGGAGUAAUGUCUGGGAAACUGCCUGAUGGAGGGGGAUAACUGCUGGAAACGGUAGCUAAUACCGCAUAACGUCGCAAGACCAAAGAGGGGGACCUCCGGGCCUCUUGCCAUCGGAUGUGCCCAGAUGGGAUUAGCUAGUAGGUGGGGUAACGGCUCACCUAGGCGACGAUCCCUAGCUGGUCUGAGAGGAUGGCCAGCCACACUGGAACUGAGACACGGUCCAG